rnacentral:rRNA from 1 species
AUGGACGAUGAUGUUAUUUACCAUCGAGGCACAUAUGUUAGAGGUACAGUUCCACGAUUCGACCCAUUUUGCGUAUGGGGCAAUGCAGCAUUCAUGGAUCAUAAUCAAUGGUUUCCAAAGCAGUUUACUCAAGAUUACCUCACAAACUACAUGAUCGGUGCGAAGGCAAGGAAAAUUAAAGUAUAUCACCCAAACUACCAUGAUGAUGGUCUAGAAAUCUUCUUGAAGCCGUUCAAAUUCUGGAGGAUUAUAAACUGUAGGGAGUAUAUUAUCAGGAAACAAGCAGUUGUGCAGCUGGUCAUUAUGAAACUUUCCCCAUUUGAUCCCACUCCAGUAAAUUUCAAAGUUGUUCAUGAGGGGGUUGCUCGGGAUUACAUUCUUCAUGGAGGUUGCGAGUGCUUCGAUGGCGGACCAGCGACAAGUCCGCGGUGUUACUGCAAAAAUCAUCCUCCCCCGCCAUGCAGGUAG